rnacentral:rRNA from 1 species
UGAGGAAUAUUGGACAAUGGAGGCAACUCUGAUCCAGCCAUGCCGCGUGCAGGAAGACUGCCCUAUGGGUUGUAAACUGCUUUUAUACAGGAAGAAUAGUACCUACGUGUAGGUAUUUGACGGUACUGUACGAAUAAGGAUCGGCUAACUCCGUGCCAGCAGCCGCGGUAAUACGGAGGAUCCAAGCGUUAUCCGGAAUCAUUGGGUUUAAAGGGUCCGUAGGCGGUCUGAUAAGUCAGAGGUGAAAUCCUGCAGCUCAACUGUAGCAUUGCCUUUGAUACUGUUAGACUUGAGUUAUUGUGAAGUAGUUAGAAUGUGUGGUGUAGCGGUGAAAUGCAUAGAUAUCACACAGAAUACCGAUUGCGAAGGCAGAUUACUAACAAUAUACUGACGCUGAGGGACGAAAGCGUGGGUAGCGAACAGGAUUAGAUACCCCCGUAGU